rnacentral:rRNA from 1 species
CCUACGGGAGGCAGCAGUGAGGAAUAUUGGUCAAUGGGCUUAAGCCUGAACCAGCCAAGUCGCGUGAGGGAAUACUGCCCCACGGGUCGUAAACCUCUUUUGCCGGGGAGCAACGCCGGGUACGUGUCCCCGCCCGGAGAGUACCCGAAGAAAAAGCAUCGGCUAACUCCGUGCCAGCAGCCGCGGUAAUACGGAGGAUGCGAGCGUUAUCCGGAUUUAUUGGGUUUAAAGGGUGCGUAGGCGGGCUUUUAAGUCAGCGGUAAAAUUUCGGGGCUCAACCCCGGCCGGCCGUUGAAACUGGGGGCCUUGAGUGGGCGAGAAGAAGGCGGAAUGCGUGGUGUAGCGGUGAAAUGCAUAGAUAUCACGCAGAACCCCGAUUGCGAAGGCAGCCUACCGGCGCCCUACUGACGCUGAGGCACGAAAGUGUGGGGAUCGAACAGGAUUAGAUACCCGAGUAGUC